GAUGAACGCUGGCGGCGUGCCUAAUACAUGCAAGUCGAACGAAACUUCUUUAUCACCGAGUGCUUGCACUCACCGAUAAAGAGUUGAGUGGCGAACGGGUGAGUAACACGUGGGCAACCUGCCCAAAAGAGGGGGAUAACGCUUGGAAACAGGUGCUAAUACCGCAUAACCAUAGUUACCGCAUGGUAACUAUGUAAAAGGUGGCUAUACUACCGCUUUUGGAUGGGCCCGCGGCGCAUUAGCUAGUUGGUAGGGUAAAGGCUUACCAAGGCAAUGAUGCGUAGCCGAAUUGAGAGGUUGAUCGGCCACAUUGGGACUGAGACACGGCCCAAACUCCUACGGGAGGCAGCAGUAGGGAAUCUUCCACAAUGGGCGAAAGCCUGAUGGAGCAACGCCGCGUGGGUGAAGAAGGUCUUCGGAUCGUAAAACCCUGUUGUUAGAGAAGAAAGUGCGUGAGAGUAACUGUUCACGUUUCGACGGUAUCUAACCAGAAAGCCACGGCUAACUACGUG
rnacentral:rRNA from 1 species